GUCUACGUGGCGAAACUGGCAAACGCGGCGGUCUUAGAAACCGUUUUGAUGGGGGUUCGAAUCCCUCCGUGGACA
rnacentral:tRNA from 1 species